CCCACCACAAGUGGCAUCCUGUGAACAUGGCGCCCACUGGGAACACAGCUCCGCAAUCGCCAGUCACGGGGAGAUUGCUCCUUCCUAUGCAUUUUGGUGGAUAUUUGUGCAAACAACAGUUGGAAUACCUACCCUUGCUGACACGUCUUUACAGUCUGUACUACUUCAUAAUAUGAGACAAAGUAUUGAUGGAAAAGACAUAGACUGAGGACUUAUUGGAAAAGGCACCUUUUCUGAAGAGCCAUGCGGCUUAUGCAAAACACAACUGAGCUAAACUGAGGAAGGCAGCUCAAGAAAGGCUGAAGGCGAAGAAGGUGCUUUGCUAAUGACAUCACCCUGGAACGGCGUCCUAGAGAAGCAAGA